rnacentral:rRNA from 1 species
CCUACGGGAGGCAGCAGUGGGGAAUAUUGCGCAAUGGGCGAAAGCCUGAUGCAGCGACGCCGCGUGAGGGAUGAAGGUCUUCGGAUCGUAAACCUCUUUCCGUAGGGAAGAACGCUCACUGUGCUAUACAGCAGUGAAUUGACGGUACCUGCACAGGAAGCACCGGCUAACUCCGUGCCAGCAGCCGCGGUAAUACGGAGGGUGCGCGCGUUAAUCGGAAUUACUGGGCGUAAAGCGCUCGUAGGCGGUAUGUUAAGUCUAGGGUGAAAGCCCCGGGCUCAACGUGGGAACCGCAUUUGAUACUGGGAAACUGGAGUGAGUGAGGGGGUAGUGGAAGUCCAGGUGUAGGAGUGAAAUGCGUAGAUAUCGGGAGGAACACCAGAGGCGAAGGCGACUAUCUGGCAAAUAACUGACGCUGAGGAGCGAAGGCGUGGGUAGCAAAAAGGAUUAGAUACCCGUGUAGUC